rnacentral:rRNA from 1 species
AUUGAACGCUGGCGGCAUGCCUUACACAUGCAAGUCGAACGGUAACGGGCCUUCGGGUGCCGACGAGUGGCGAACGGGUGAGUAAUACAUCGGAACGUGCCCGAUCGUGGGGGAUAACGAGGCGAAAGCUUUGCUAAUACCGCAUACGAUCUACGGAUGAAAGCAGGGGACCGCAAGGCCUUGCGAGGACGGAGCGGCCGAUGGCAGAUUAGGUAGUUGGUGGGAUAAAAGCUUACCAAGCCGACGAUCUGUAGCUGGUCUGAGAGGAUGAUCAGCCACACUGGGACUGAGACACGGCCCAGACUCCUACGGGAGGCAGCAGUGGGGAAUUUUGGACAAUGGGCGCAAGCCUGAUCCAGCCAUGCCGCGUGCAGGAUGAAGGCCUUCGGGUUGUAAACUGCUUUUGUACGGAACGAAAAGCCUUCUUCUAAUACAGGAGGGUCAUGACGGUACCGUAAGAAUAAGCACCGGCUAACUACGUGCCAGCCGCCGCAGUAA